rnacentral:rRNA from 1 species
UACGUAGGGGGCAAGCGUUGUCCGGAUUUAUUGGGCGUAAAGAGCGUGUAGGCGGCCUGACAGGUCUGCUGUGAAAACUCGAGGCUCAACCUCGAGAUGUCGGCGGAAACUGUCUGGCUAGAGUCCGGAAGAGGAGAGUGGAAUUCCUGGUGUAGCGGUGAAAUGCGUAGAUAUCCGGAGGAACACCGAUGGCGAAGGCAGCUUCCUGGCCCACAACUGACGCUGAGGUGCGAAAGCGUGGGGAGCGAACGGG